AUGGGCGCAAGCCUGAUGCAGCGACGCCGCGUGGGGGAUGACGGCCUUCGGGUUGUAAACCCCUUUCGCCAGGGACGAAGCGUAAGUGACGGUACCUGGAGAAGAAGCACCGGCCAACUACGUGCCAGCAGCCGCGGUAAUACGUAGGGUGCAAGCGUUGUCCGGAAUUAUUGGGCGUAAAGAGCUCGUAGGCGGUGUGUCACGUCUGCCGUGAAAACCUGCGGCUUAACCGUGGGCGUGCGGUGGAUACGGGCAUCACUUGAGUUCGGUAGGGGAGACUGGAAUUCCUGGUGUAGCGGUGGAAUGCGCAGAUAUCAGGAGGAACACCGGUGGCGAAGGCGGGUCUCUGGGCCGAUACUGACGCUGAGGAGCGAAAGCGUGGGGAGCGAACAGGAUUAGAUACCCUGGUAGUCCACGCCGUAAACGUUGGGCGCUAGGUGUGGGGCGCUGUUCACGUGUCCCGUGCCGUAGCUAACGCAUUAAGCGCCCCGCCUGGGGAGUACGGCCGCAAGGCUAAAACUCAAAGGAAUUGACGGGGG
rnacentral:rRNA from 1 species